AACGAACGCUGGCGGCAGGCCUAACACAUGCAAGUCGAGCGAGGACUUCGGUCCUAGCGGCGGACGGGUGAGUAACGCGUGGGAACGUGCCCUUUGCUUCGGAAUAUCCCUGGGAAACUGGGAGUAAUACCGGCUGAGCCCUCUGGGGGAAAGAUUUAUCGGCGAAGGAUCGGCCCGCGUUGGAUUAGGUAGUUGGUGGGGUAAUGGCCUACCACGCCGACGAUCCAUAGCUGGUUUGAGAGGAUGCUCAGCGACACUGGGACUGAGACACGGCCCAGACUCCUACGGGAGGCAGCAGUGGGGAAUCUUAGACAAUGGGGGAAACGCUGAACUAGCCAGGACGCGUGAGCGAUGAAGGCCGUAGGGUUGUAAAGCUAUUUAAGCUGGGAAGAUAAUGACGGUACCAGCAGAAGAAGCCCCGGCUAACUCCGUG
rnacentral:rRNA from 1 species